rnacentral:rRNA from 1 species
UACGGGGGGGGCAAGCGUUGUUCGGAAUUACUGGGCGUAAAGGGCGCGUAGGCGGCCUGCUAAGUCGGACGUGAAAUCCCUCGGCUCAACCGAGGAACUGCGUCCGAUACUGGUGGGCUUGAAUCCGGGAGAGGGAUGUGGAAUUCCAGGUGUAGCGGUGAAAUGCGUAGAUAUCUGGAGGAACGCCGGUGGCGAAGGCGGCAUCCUGGACCGGUAUUGACGCUGAGACGCGAAAGCGUGGGGAGCGAACAGG